CACGUAGGGGGCGAGCGUUGUCCGGAUUUAUUGGGCGUAAAGAGCUCGUAGGCGGUUCGGCAAGUCGGGUGUGAAAUUUCGAGGCUCAACCUCGAAACGCCACUCGAUACUGCUGUGACUGGAGUCCGGUAGAGGAGUGCGGAAUUCCUGGUGUAGCGGUGAAAUGCGCAGAUAUCAGGAGGAACACCAACGGCGAAGGCAGCACCUCUGGGCCGGUACUGACGCUGAGGGAGCGAAAGCGUGGGGAGCAAACAGG
rnacentral:rRNA from 1 species